ensembl:lncRNA SNHG32 small nucleolar RNA host gene 32
GCUGCUGGGAAACGGCUUAGGAGCAGCACCCGGCUGGCGCUGGCCGGCCGGCGCCGGGGACUUUCUUCCGCCUGGCCAGACAGAUCCCUGUUUUUUGUUUUUCAAAAUUCAGAAAGCAUCUCCGAAUAUUUGCCCAGAGGAGUGUGAAACAUACUUUCCUGGUCUUUCUUUCACUUUGUUUUAUUUCUGUGUGGACAAACAAUGGGGAAAAUGCCGCGCGUCUAGCCAGGCAGAUAAGAAAACAACUAUACCCGUCAGGCCCCCAACCCGGCGCCGCCAUAAAUGGCCCCGGCCUCGCCAUUUUAGUUCUUUUUGCGAAGUGGGCUCGUGGGUUGGCAGUAUGAGAGUUGUAAUGGCCCGACUGUUGAGUGAGGGGGAGCAGGGGAUCCCAACGGCUUGCGCUGCCUUUGCGCAGCAGCCGGCGGGCGGCCACGUCGCGGCCUGGCUGGGGUAGGAGAGGGCGGUCCCCAGUGCAGUUGGGUGAACUACCGUUGCACACUGGAGUUUCUGGUGUCUUUGCUUGGAACUGACCUAGCUCGUGGCAGGGGGAACUCGGCUAGCGGCCCCACAGCCCCUGCUGACUCAAAACAACUGAGUUGUAAGACGUUCAUCGCCGUGUUAUCCUUGAGUAAAGAAUGAACUCUGGAAGCCCAGCCAGGGACAAUGCACCUUCACAGAGAUUCUGCACUAAUCUGAGUGAAGGUCUAAGGUUUGGAAUCUCCCCCUCAUGGAGAGAAGCUUUGUAUGGCUGUCAUGCUUAGACAGUGAUUCCUGCAACUUGACCUUCAGGCUGGGAGAGGUGGAGAGCCAUGCCUGUUCUCCUUCCUUGCUAUGGAAUUUGCUGACACAAUAUCUUCCGCCUGGUGCUGGGCAUAUCCUAAGAACUUACAACUUUCCUGUAUUAUCCUGUGUGAGCAGCUGUCACCUUAUUGGGGGAAAAAUGCCUGAAAAUUAGGGGGCACUUCAAGUAGAUAGCUUCUAUUUCCUAUAUUUGUCUUAUAUACAAGUAUUUGCUUUUAUCAAAAUAAUUCCAAUAAAGCAUUUUAAAGUAAA